rfam:Calypte anna contig30237, whole genome shotgun sequence.
AAAGCAGGCUGCAAUUCCUGUGCUUCCUCCUGUGGGAGUGCUGGCAUUCCCCUGCUGAGAGCAACCCUGUUAACACUGCUGCUUCACCUGCUCUGUGGUGAAACCCUUUGUGCUUAACAUGUACAAAC